GACGAACGCUGGCGGCGUGCUUAACACAUGCAAGUCGAACGGAAAGGCCCUGCUUUUGUGGGGUGCUCGAGUGGCGAACGGGUGAGUAACACGUGAGUAACCUGCCCUUGACUUUGGGAUAACUUCAGGAAACUGGGGCUAAUACCGGAUAGGAGCUCCUGCUGCAUGGUGGGGGUUGGAAAGUUUCGGCGGUUGGGGAUGGACUCGCGGCUUAUCAGCUUGUUGGUGGGGUAGUGGCUUACCAAGGCUUUGACGGGUAGCCGGCCUGAGAGGGUGACCGGCCACAUUGGGACUGAGAUACGGCCCAGACUCCUACGGGAGGCAGCAGGGGUGAAUAUUGCACAAUGGGCGGAAGCCUGAUGCAGCAACGCCGCGUGCGGGAUGACGGCCUUCGGGUUGUAAACCGCUUUCGCCUGUGACGAAGCGUGAGUGACGGUAAUGGGUAAAGAAGCACCGGCUAACUACGUGC
rnacentral:rRNA from 1 species